GACGAACGCUGGCGGCGUGCUUAACACAUGCAAGUCGAGGGCACUUGCUCAGCAAUGGUCAAGUGACCGGCGAACGGGUGCGUAACACGUGAGCGACCUUGCCUCGUGGUGGGGGAUAGCCGGCCCAACGGCCGGGUAAUACCGCAUAGGGUGGUCUUUUCGCAUGGAGAGACUAGCAAAGCCCUGGAGCAAUCCAGUGGCGCCACGAGGGGGGCGUC
rnacentral:rRNA from 1 species